AUACGGAGGAUCCGAGCGUUAUCCGGCUUUAUUGGGUUUAAAGGGUGCGCAGGCGGCCAUUUAAGUCAGCGGUUAAAUCGUGGGGCUCAACCCCAUUCUGCCGUUGAUACUGGGUGGCUUGAUUGCGGUCGAGGUUGGCGGAAUUCGUUGUGUAGCGGUGAAAUGCAUAGAUAUGACGAAGAACACCGAUUGCGUAGGCAGCUGACCAGACCGCAAAUGACGCUCAUGCACGAAAGUGCGGGGAUCGAACAGGAUUAGAUACCCUGGUAGUCCGCACAGUAAACGAUGAAUACUUGUUUUCGGCGAUAUAAUGUCGGAGGCAAAGCGAAAGCGAUAAGUAUUCCACCUGGGGAGUACGCCGGCAACGGUGAAACUCAAAUGAAUUGACGGGG
rnacentral:rRNA from 1 species